UACGGGGGGGGUAAGCGUUGUUCGGAAUUACUGGGCGUAAAGGGCUCGUAGGCGGCCAACUAAGUCAUACGUGAAAUCCCUCAGCUUAACUGGGGAACUGCGUGUGAUACUGGAUGGCUUGAGUUUGGGAGAGGGACGCGGAAUUCCAGGUGUAGCGGUGAAAUGCGUAGAUAUCUGGAGGAACACCGGUGGCGAAGGCGGCGUCCUGGACCAACACUGACACUGAUGAGCGAAAGCCAGGGGAGCAAACGGG
rnacentral:rRNA from 1 species